GAAGACUUAACCAGUGGACUGCCAGGAAAGUCCCAAAUUACUUGAUUUUAGGGAUGUCGCUAGACGUUUCUCCCUACCUGAGAGAAUAAGAAAUUUAGGAAAUUCUGCCUUCUACAUCUUGCUUUGGAGGGACAGAAGAAAAUUCUGAGAAACCCGCAGUGCACCGUGGAGAGCUGCACCCCUUAACACACCUCAGAACACGCUUUGGGAAGGUCAGGAUUAAGGCAAGGCUGCUAUCUAACUCCCCAUGGCAGUUGACAGAGAGGAACGGUCAAACGUCCACACACCAGCCUGAAUAGUGGCUUCUCUCAAUGUUGUCAAGUCCAGCAACACUGCUGCCCUCAGAGCCACCAUCCAUCAAGGUACAGGACCUAGUGAAAAAGUGCAGAAGAAGAGGGAUGGCAACCACCCUUGGCCUUUGUCCCAAGUGAUGCUGUGCAGUACAGCUCACCUGACAGCCCCGGGGGCCGGGGCCUGGAAGCCUGGGUUUCCCAUGCAGCAUUAAUCCGUACCCACUUUGAAUUCUGGAAGGACAGUGGUUACAAAUCCUUCUUCCACUGACAUAAACACCAAGAGACAGAGGGUGUACAGUUCCAAACCCAGCAAUGUCACACAUCGUGUGUACCUCUGCAGACUGGCAGGUGUGUUUAUAGACCCCAAAGGGAUGUGACAGUUCAGCAAGAUCUGCUGUGGCACAGUAGCCACCUUGGGGGCGGGCACACGGAACCCUGAGGCCAAGACUCCGGCACAGGUGGCACUGCUGCUGUGUCCUCUGCCCUCACCGCCUGUGGGACUUUGGACAAGUUACUCACCCUCUCUGAGCUUCAGCUUCCUUUUCAGUAACAUGGGAAUAAUCAUAAUAGUAGUAGUAGAGCAGUCUGGCGGAUUAAAUGAUUUAAUAUUUGCAAAGUGCCGAGACCAGUGCUUGCCUCACUGUACAUGCAAUAUGUGUUGGUUAAAUAGGAUAGUGUCAUUGUGUUUACUCCAAUUUCCCUCUAUUGGUAUAUGUCUCCUUUCAUAAUAGACAAAGAUGACACACAACAUUGGUGAAAACAAGACCGUCGCACUCCUCGUUUUGAGACAGCCAGGCCUGACUAAUUACAAGGAUACAAAUGAGGCCAGGCUUGGCAGUGCUGCUUCCAGAGGUGCACAUGCUGACUCUCUGGCGGGCUGGGGUAGCCUGUGAUGGAGAGCCUGGCUGUUACUUGCAUACACUAACGAUCAGGCCUCGUGCACAGUUACCAGAGAUUCCAGCAGAACGGGAACAUGCAGGCAGAACAAGAGGCAGGGCUGCCAGAAUCACAGGUGGGCCAGCAAUUGCCCUGCAAACUGCAUCUCUCAGGGCUCUCCUGUCCUGCUUCACGGGCAGCGCCUCCCAGGAGCCCCUGGCAGGAGCAGUAGGGGCUGGUCCUGCCUCUGCCUCACCUCCCUUCAUAGUCCUUACCUCAGCUGUUAAAAAUAAUAAAAUAAAACUAGCUUUAAAACAGACAAAAUAAAUGUGCUCAAAAGACAAUAGAGGGAAAUAGUUUGGUAAAUCUUGAUUAAUUUUUCUUGAUGUCAUUGGUAUUUACUUGAAAAUAGCAUCAUAUAAAUAUAUUUUAUAUAUUUUAAAAGGUUAAUAAAUAUAUAUUUAUAAAGAUUGUCAAAUAUGUCUUAAGGAAAUGUACAUUUCUUGAAAAGAAAAAGCAAAGCAGGUAAUGUACAUGAAUAAUGUCCUAAGUUGUAGAAUAAAAGCUCUUCAUUAGGUGUGUAA